rnacentral:rRNA from 1 species
GCAACCUGCCCCGAAGACCGGGACAACACCGGGAAACCGGUGCUAAUACCGGAUAUCCCUAUCGGACCGCAUGAUCUGAUAAGGAAAUGGAUUCCGCUUCGGGAGGGGCUCGCGGCCUAUCAGCUAGUUGGUGAGGUAACGGCCCACCAAGGCAUCGACGGGUAGCUGGUCUGAGAGGACGAUCAGCCACACUGGGACUGAGACACGGCCCAGACUCCUACGGGAGGCAGCAGUGGGGAAUCUUGCGCAAUGGGCGAAGGCCUGACGCAGCAACGCCGCGUGGAGGACGAAGGCUUUCUGAGUUGUAAACUCCUUUCAGCAGGGACGAUAGUGACGGUACCUGCAGAAGAAGCACCGGCC